UUUAUUUCUAGCAUUUCUCUCUAGCUUUCUUACAGCUUCGCAUCUCUGCUACAAGGCUCUGUGGGUGCAGAUUAUCUGCUUUCUCACCUAGACCCCUUGUCGUGAUCAUCUCCUCGAAGUCCCUGCAUAAUAGUUUCAACAUCUAGGUCAUCAAUGAGUCUGAUUCUGUUGAUGGUUUUCUCUCUUGGCAACGCGUUGCUUGGGUUUUGUUGCUUCUGAGUGAAAAGUUCAUAACUUCGUAUCUGAAUACGGAACAUUCAUGGAGAGAACAUCAGAGACGGAGGCGACUAGUGUUCAUCUCUGGCAGUGGGUCACCCUCUCCCGCCAGGCUGUUGGUGUGGGGUUGGAGUCCAUCCUGUCAGGAAACGAGCUGGGUCUGGGGUUUGUGGCCGCCGUGGUCACUUUCAGAGCACCACAGGCCUCCGUACCUGUAGCAAUGGCUGCCACCGCCUUGCGGUCCCAGUGGGGGCUGGUGAAUCUUCCUCAGGGCGGUGUCCCACCCUGCACGCCUGAGCCAGUCUCUCUCCACCUUGUCCAGGUAGCAGACAGUUGCUGCUUGCUGUUCUAUGCUGGGGACAGAGCCUCAGCUCAGGCCACAUGCCUUCGGGCCGCUCCCUGUGGUGGCCCAGCUCUGCCCUGGGUCCGUGGGAUCUUGGCUGGGAGAUUCCUGCCCCUCUGUUUGGUAUCAUGCAGGAUCCCAGGCCUGCUCUCCCAAGGGGGAAGAGUCUUUCCCCUUCCUCUGUCAGCCCUAGUGCGUCUCUCCUGUGCCCUGGCACCGACAGGCUGUGCCGUCCCUCCCUCGGCCGCUGAGGGCGUUUGCUCCCCAGGAGGGGAGGGUCUGGGAAAGCGGGAAGGGCUGUGGUCUGUUCCUCGCCAUCAGCCACUCUUCCUGCAGGGGUCACAGGCUGUCGAUUCUUACAUGAGAAGUAUUCAAGAAACAUGCAGUGUUUGUGCCUGGCCCCAAGGGACAGCCAGUCCCCUGCCUGCCACUAACCUUUCUCACGAGCACCCGCUGGAGCUUCGUGGGAAAAAGUGGGGAGUCACAAAACCACCGGGGUGUCUGGGGCCCCGGGAAUUCCAGACUGACCUUCUAGGCUUAGUUGGUCUUUGCAGUCUGUCAGUAGUGGGUUUCUUCUCAUGUCUGUUGUUCCCGUGCUCUGCCCCAGGCGGGACGGUCCUUGAAACAAGUUACUUCGUUGGUUUGUGGUCUCUACUCUCUGACGGACUCCAGAAAACAUAGGGUUUUGUGGUUUCUUUGGCUUUUGUCGUUGUUGUUGUUUUGGGAUUUUUUGUCUGUUUGUUUUACAACUUUCUACCUGCUAAGUAGAAGCAGAAGGGACUCAUCUUCUGGAAACUGCAUUUUAAUAUCCCCCAAUUUCAAUCUUCAUUUAUUAAAAAGUAAUUUACUUGGGGUGCCUGGGUGGCUCAGCUGGUUAAGCAUCCGACUCUUGGUUUCAGCUCAGGUCACGAUCUCACAGUUUGUGGGAUUCAGCCCCACGUCGAGCUCUAUGCUAACAGUGCAGAGCCUGCUUGGGAUGCUCUCUCUUUCUCUCUCUGUCAAAAAAAGUAAUAGAUAAAAUUUUUUAAACGGUUAAAAUAGCAAAAAAGAAAAAAAAAACACAACAAAACAAAAAACAAAAAAAAAAACCAAACAAGCAAACAUGAUUUCUAUUUUACCACAAUAAAAAAAGGACCAAACAGCCGACUCACGCCUGCCACGUUCCAAGUACCCUUCUAGGCACUGGGACUGCAGAGGUGAACAAAACAGACCAGAUCCCUGUCCUCAGCAUUUCCACCCAAUGAAUAAAAUUAAGACGUGGCUCUGCACCAUGAAAGGACCUACAAAGUGCUCACUGACUGCACCAGGCACGUGGCGGACCAGCUGGGCUGCUUCUGGCCGAAUGCGGCCGUGGACAGGUUCUUUGUGGCCGUCCACCGGCACUACUUCAGGAACUGCCCCGUCUCCGGCA